AGGAGGUUAGCUCAGUUGGUAGAGCGCCACCCUUACAAGGUGGAUGUCGUCGGUUCGAAUCCGGCACCUCCUACCA
rnacentral:tRNA from 2 species